UUCACCGUAAUUGUAAUUUUGCUGUUUUUCUCCUCAAAGUAGGAAAGCAGUACUUGUGGAAUACCUCAUUCUGUUAUUUAAGAACACUUGUCAAGCUCCCAAAAGAGGUAGUGUGCUGUCCAUAAGAUUUGGGCCUAGAGGCAUGAUCAAAAGGAAACUUGCAACUGGACAUAGUUCCUUUUGAGGUGGAGAGAGGGGAGGGGUGUGGCGCUGCUUCUUUUGGCCUCUUAAAGAUGAUUCAAGUACGUGGGCCUCUCUCUGCUGUGGCCUCUCCCUUUGCGGAGCGCAGGCUCCGGACGUGCAG